AACGCAAAUUGCGCCCGAGGCCUCGGCCAAAGGCAUGUCUGCCUCAGCGUCGGCUUCACCCCUCCUCUCCCUUUUUAUGUAUGAGGGAGAGGGAGCUGGUGGUCUCGGUCUGAGAAGACCGGGUCCGCCGAAGACCAGAGGCUCAGCCGCUCCCUAUGUCUAAAAAACAAGGGCAACAGUCUGGUAGGCGACUCGUCGCAUGCCUUCGCUGGUGCCCCGGGCAGCAGCCGGGCGGCAGGAAGUGUGCUUCCAGCACACAAACCAUCCAUUCGACCUGAGAUCAGGCAAGAGCACCCGCUGAACUUAA
rnacentral:misc_RNA from 1 species